AACACAUGCAAGUCGAGCGGUAAGGCCCUUUCGGGGUACACGAGCGGCGAACGGGUGAGUAACACGUGAGCAAUCUGCCCUUCUCUUUGGAAUAACCAUUGGAAACGAUGGCUAAUGCCGAAUAUGACCCCCCUUCGCAUGUUGGGGGGUGGAAAGCUCCGGCGGAGAUGGAUGAGCUCGCGGCCUAUCAGCUUGUUGGUGAGGUAAUGGCUCACCAAGGCAUUGACGGGUAGCCGGCCUGAGAGGGUGACCGGCCACACUGGGACUGAGACACGGCCCAGACUCCUACGGGAGGCAGCAGUGGGGAAUAUUGGACAAUGGGCGAAAGCCUGAUCCAGCAACGCCGCGUGAGGGAUGACGGCCUUCGGGUUGUAAACCUCUUUCAGCAGGGACGAAGCGAAAGUGACGGUACCUGCAGAAGAAGGACC
rnacentral:rRNA from 1 species